CCCUUAGAUGUCCUGGGCCGCACGCGCGCUACACUGAUGCAUUCAACGAGCCUAUCCUUGACCGACAGGUCCGGGUAAUCUUUGAAUCUGCAUCGUGACGGGGAUAGAUUAUUGCAAUUAUUAAUCUUCAACGAGGAAUGCCUAGUAGGCGCAAGUCAUCAGCUUGCGUCGAUUACGUCCCUGCCCUUUGUACACACCGCCCGUCGCUCCUACCGAUUGGGUGUGCUGGUGAAAUGUUCGGAUCGGCCGUUUGUCGCGGUUUCCGCGUCAUGUGGCUGAGAAGUUCAUUAAACCCGCCCACCUAGAGGAAGGAGAAGUCGUAACA
rnacentral:rRNA from 1 species